UGGCGGGCUGCAAAUACAUGCAAGUCGAGCGAACAGAUAAGGAGCUUGCUCCUUUGACGUUAGCGGCGGACGGGUGAGUAACACGUGGAUAACCUACCUAUAAGACUGGGAUAACUUCGGGAAACCGGAGCUAAUACCGGAUAACAUAUUGAACCGCAUGGUUCAAUAGUGAAAGGCGGCUUUGCUGUCACUUAUAGAUGGAUCCGCGCCGUAUUAGCUAGUUGGUAAGGUAACGGCUUACCAAGGCAACGAUACGUAGCCGACCUGAGAGGGUGAUCGGCCACACUGGAACUGAGACACGGUCCAGACUCCUACGGGAGGCAGCAGUAGGGAAUCUUCCGCAAUGGGCGAAAGCCUGACGGAGCAACGCCGCGUGAGUGAUGAAGGUCUUCGGAUCGUAAAACUCUGUUAUCAGGGAAGAACAAAUGUGUAAGUAACUGUGCACAUCUUGACGGUACCUGAUCAGAAAGCCACGGCUAACUACGUGCCAGCAGCCGCGGUAAUACGUAGGUGGCAAGCGUUAUCCGGAAUUAUUGGGCGUAAAGCGCGCGUAGGCGGUUUUUUAAGUCUGAUGUGAAAGCCCACGGCUCAACCGUGGAGGGUCAUUGGAAACUGGAAAACUUGAGUGCAGAAGAGGAAAGUGGAAUUCCAUGUGUAGCGGUGAAAUGCGCAGAGAUAUGGAGGAACACCAGUGGCGAAGGCGACUUUCUGGUCUGUAACUGACGCUGAUGUGCGAAAGCGUGGGGAUCAAACAGGAUUAGAUACCCUGGUAGUCCACGCCGUAAACGAUGAGUGCUAAGUGUUAGGGGGUUUCCGCCCCUUAGUGCUGCAGCUAACGCAUUAAGCACUCCGCCUGGGGAGUACGACCGCAAGGUUGAAACUCAAAGGAAUUGACGGGGACCCGCAC
rnacentral:rRNA from 1 species